AUUCAUUCUGCCCGCCUCUGUGGACUCCUUUACUAGGCGACCAGCCCUGAAACAGAAGUUGGACAUUUUUUAAAGGUUCUUGCGCUCGGCAAGGGGAGCAGAUAGAUGCUCAGGAGCGAAAGACGCAGAGAAUUGGAUCUGGCGCCUCCUAACGCAGCCCGCACAGGAGCGAAGGGUAAGCCCUUGUUGGUAGUUUAUAGAAGACAAGUCGGUGGAAAGGUGCAUGGUGCUCUGGGAUAGGUGGGGGGAACUCUAGUGCCCUUGAUGAAGCCCCUACAGGGCUUCUUAGCGGAGGUAUCGGCACCCUCCGUACAUACAUGGGUGUCAUUAGGUCCCUGUCCACUUACUAGUGUUUUUGACUACCCCAGCACUGGUCCUGGGUUGUCUUGUCCUCCCAUCAUGAGCAACAGUCAGGUCGACUUGGCUUGAGAAAAGCUAGCCCUAAACAUUCCUCCAGCCCCAGCUGUGGCGCCCUGCUAGGCCUGAUCUUGCGGGUAAAGAUGCUGAUAAAAUGACAUGGCAAGAGGGAGACGAUAAAGGGACAUUGUAGAUAGCAGGCUUUGAGCCUGACAUUUUAUUUCUGCCAUAACCCUGUGGGAUACUUGGAGCAGGUCAUUUUGCAGAUAGGGAAACUGAAGCUCAGAGAAAUUAUGAAUCUGAAUGAUUGCUGUGCUCCCAUAUGGUCCCCAGGCUAUCAGACAGACCUGUGGGGAGGACGUGGCUUCCCCACCAGGAGAUACGAUGUCACUAUCAGCAUCGUAUUGGCCGUCCUAAGAGACAGCUUCCCCCUCACUCACCUUAGAAGUUUCCUGUCCUAUCUGACUGUAGUCUUUCCCACCCAUCCUCAAAGGCUACUCUUUGAAGUUUGUUUUCAUUCAUGUUCACUAGCUGUAAAAAUCUUUUAAGCAGGGAUGAGGCUGGGAAACAUCAAAAUUUGUUUCCAAACUGAAAUCGCCCACGUUGGCUGCUGCGUGCAAUCAGUAGCCCUUCGUGUGAGUGCUGCCGGUUCUGCCUUCAGUCCGUCCAGAACCAUGGACCAUUUUAUUUGUUCCUGUCUUUCUCACAAGAACCCUUUAAGGGAAAUCGUCUUGUUCGUUCCCAUUUUGCAAAGGAGGAAAUUAGGACUAAGAAAAGCAAAGCCACUCACCCAGGAUCACAUAGCGCGUAUGUGCCGCUGCCAGGGCUCACACUGGAGCCUGGCUUGGCCAUCACGUGCUUUUUUUUUUUUUUUUUUUUUUUUUAGUAACUUACCAGCCUCACUACUGCCCCAUAAUGAAAUAAACAUGUUCAAAGGAGGCUGCAUGGGCUGGAGAGUGACGCAAAGUGAAUUAAGUGAAAUAAAGCAAAAAAUAUAUAAUAGAAUGCUUCAUCUAAUUAAUUCUUUUUUCUCCCUGAGGCCCUUCUUUCUCUCCAAGUGGCCUCAUAGUGGCCCCAAAAGCUGGCAUCAGAAAAAGGUCCAAUGGCAGCCACCUUAGUAUAAAAACAGUUAAGUCCAUCUAUCACCUCCACGAGGAGUUCCUGGCCUGUCAGAGUGGGAAGGGGCUGGGUAGUCACCUCAUUUAAUCCCCCCCCUUUACAAACCUCGAGGAAACCGCAAACACGAGAAAAGAAUGGGCCAGCCGGGGGUUUGUUCCCCUUGGCCUCCCCCAGAAUGCCUGCCCUGCUGCCGGGUCCUAAGUGGCCACUCAAUAAAUGUUGGGCCCUUGAUGAAUCACCUUCCCCCUCGAUAUUUGCAUUUUCUCUUUAUCAGUAAUUGGCAGAUGAAAGGCUUUGUCCUCCAGUUGAAAGAAUUCCAAGCAUUUGCUCAAAGUGGGGGAGGAGGUUAUUUUGGACCAAAGGGGGAAGGGCCAAGACCCUGGAGCUCCCAGUGUUGACUAAUUGUCCCAGAGAAGUGGAGAGUAGGUAAGGGAAGAGAGAAGGUGAAGGUGCUUACCCCAGAGAUGUACUUUUUCUUGCAGGAAAACACCGGGCCGGUUGUAUUGGAAACAUAAUAAUAAUUAUUUCCUGGACCCUCCUGCUCGAUCUUACAAAGGGCCCAGUCAAAUCCUGCCUGAGUUACCCCCAUUCAUUCUUCAUUCAUCAAAGGUUGAUUGAGCAACUCUGUGCCCAAAGACAGAGAGGCUAGAGAAAAGAAGAUGCAGCGUGGGGCAUGCAGAUUGGGGCAUACUCGAGGCUGGGUAGGACGAUGGACCUGCAGCUUCCCAAGGAAAGGGUGGACACUGGAUGUAGCUCUCAGAAACCAGAAUCUUGAUAAGAAAUUGAAGUUGUUCUCAUAUUCAUAUAUGAUUAUCAUAACUCCUGAUUUUUCUUUUCUUUUUUUUGAGAGAGGGUCUUGCUCUGUUGCCCAGGCUGGAGUGCAGUGACACAAUCUCAGCUCACUGCAACCUCCACCUCCUGGACUCAGCAAUGCUCCACCUUAGCCUUCCAAGUAGCUGAGACUACAGGAGUGCACCACCAUGCCCAGCUAAUUUUUGUAUUUUUGGUAGAGACAGGGUUUUGCCGUGUUGCCCAGGCUGGUCUCCAACUCCUAGGCUCAAGUGUUCCUCCCACCUCGGCCUCCCAAAGUGCUGAGAUUACAGCCGUAAGCCACCACACCUGGCCCUGUUUUGUUUUAAUUUAAGGAUAUCUAAUCAUUCCACAUCAGCAUAUGUGGAAUGCUAUAGCACAUCAGCUAUAGUUUCCUUAUUCUUUCUAAUGAUUUCAUAGCAUUUCAUUGGGCAGAUAAAUGGUGCAAGAAUGAUUUAAUUAGUUCCCUAACUUUUAGAUGGUUUUCAAUCUUUUUCUAUUGCAAACAGAGCUAUAAGGGAUUGCAGCUUUGUGCUUGAGUCUGUCAGUAGAAUAUAUAUCUGAAAGUGAUCAUCCACGUCUCAGGAUUCCUACCCUAUCACCAACUAUUUGUCCUUGAGAAGUUUAUUUGUAAGAUCUGAGCAGGUGGGACAACCUCAUAUCCAACUGGUAUCCCCAGGAGUCUACGCAGUGCCAUGCCCUUGGCAGGCACUCAGAGAGAGUGGUUUAAGGGCUAACACUGCAAGCAUUCACACUGUAAUCAGAUGGCCUCUUCUAGGAAACCUUUGCUGAUAUCCUUGGCCCCCUUUCCCCAUGGACCCUUCAUUCAUUCCACAAAUGUUUGUGGAAGGUUGAUUAGGGGGACCCUGUAUCAAAUCAGCCUCUUAGGUAUAUAUAGCCUGGUAGGUGAGUUAAAACAAAUUCUGGAAAGCACUCUAAGGCUGUGCUGUUUGAUGGGAUACAUUAGCUACAUACAGCUACUUAAAUUUAAUUAAAAUAAAAUGUAAAAUUCAGCUCCUUAACCCAGUACCUACAUUUGAAGGGGCUAGAAGUGACAGCACUGAAUGGUGCAGAUACAGAAUAUCCCUAUCAUUGGCUGGGCGCUGUGGGUCACACCUGUAAUCCCAGCAUUUUGGGAUGCUGAGGCAGGUGGAUCACCUGAGGUCAGGAGUUCAAGACCAGCCUGGCCAACAGGAUGAAACCCCCGUCUCUAUUAAAAAUACAAAAAUUGGACAAGCGUGGUGGUGCACACCUGUAAUCCCAGCAACUCGGGAGGCUGAGGCAGGAGAAUUGCUUGAACCCAGGAGGCAGAGUUUGCAAUGAGCUGAUUGCACCACUGCACUCAAGCCUGGGUGACAGAGGGGGAUUCUGUCUCAAAAAAAAAAAAAGAAUAUCUUGAAUAACUCUAUCAUCUUCUGUGGGACAGCCCUGAAGGGAGGCUUAGCAUAGUGGGCAACCCUGUGGGCUCUGGAUUCCUGUAAGCUCUGAGUUCGAAUCCUAUCAUUAUUUCCUAGCUAUAAAAUUUGGCCAAGCAAGUUAACCUGUCUUUGAGCCUCAGCCAUAAAGGUGGGGAAUUACAGCCCCUUAUGGAGAUUUGGCAAGGAUUCAAAGGUACUGCAAAUGUGAGGGGCUUUGCACAAAGUCAUAGUAAUAUUAUAAAAAAUCUGGAGUGAAGCCAGGCGCAGUGGCUCAUGCCUAUAAUCCCAGCAAUUUGGGAGGCCAAGGCGGACAGAUCACCUGUGCUCAGGAGUUCGAGACCAGCUUGGGCAACAUGAUAAAACCCUAUCUCUACUAAAAAUACAAAAAUUAGCUGGGUGUGGUGGCGUGCGCCUGUAGUCCCAGCUACUCAGGAGGCUGAGGCACAAGAACCGCUUGAACCCAGGAGGCAGAGGUUGCAGUGAGCCAAGAUCAUUCACUGCACUCCAGCCUGGGUGACAUCCCGAGACUCCGUCUCCAAACCAAAACGAAACUAAACAACAUGCAGAAUACUAAUAAUACUAAGUUGUGCGGACCAUGUAAGGAAACCAAAAGGGUUAUGUCUGUAUCUACAUGCUUUUUUUUUUUUUUUUUUUUUUGUGAGACAGAGUCUUGCUAUAACACCCAGGCUGGAGUACAAUGGCACAAUCUCGGCUCACUGAAACCUCCGCCUCCCGGGUUCAAGCAAUUCUCCUGCCUCAGCCUCCCAAGUAGCUGGGACUACAGGCGCAUACCACCAUGCCCGGCUGAUUUUUGUGUUUUUAGUAGAGACAGGGUUUCACCAUACUGGCCAGGCAGGUCUCAAACUUCUGACCUCAGGUGAUCCGCCCAUCUCGGCCUCCCAGACUGCUGGGACUACAGGCAUGAGCCACCGUGCCCGACCCAUACAUUCUUUAGUAUGUGCAGAAUUUCCUUUGGAAAGAUCAAAAAGUGAGAAAAAGAACUGGGAAAAGAGAAGAAAGCCUAUUUUUUGGUAAAGUGAUAUUUUUACCACAUAUGUACAUGAACGGUGCCUGAUUUUAAACCUUAUUGACUUAAUCUCAUUUUAGAUGCUGUAGUACCUCUUGAAUUUUGUACCGCACAGAUGUAUUACCUACUCAAAAAUAAUUCCAUUUUAUUCCUUUUUUAAGUCUAUAAGAUUCAAAAUCAGGCAAACCUAAACCAAAACUAAAUUUUUUUUUUUUUUUUGAGACAGGGUCUUGCUCUGUCACCCAGGCUCUGGUGUGCAGUGGUGUGAUCACAGCUCACUGUAGCCUCCACCUCCCGCGCUCAGGCAAUGCUCCCACCUCAGACUCCCGAGUAGCUGGGACUUGUAGGCAUGCAAGACCAGGCCCAGCUAAUUUUGGUACUUUUUGUAGGGACUCUGUUUUGCCAUGUUACUCAGGCUGUUCUCAAACUCCUGAGCUCAAGUGAUCCACCCCUCAGCCUCCCAAAGUGGGGGAUUACAGGCUAAAUAUUCUUUAGAUAUAGAUACAUAAGUCACAAAACAGGAAUAAAAGCAAGGAAUGAUUAACACAAAAUGCUGCAAAAGACCAUUCAGGAAAGGAAUGUGAACAGAGAUACUAGUGACUUUCUGUUUCUUAAUCCACCUGCUGGGCAUCUAAGACUGUUCCUUAAAGUAUAGUUAAAUAUUUUUCAGAUUCUAUUGUAUUUAUGAGAUAUUCCACAAUUUUUUCUUUUUCUUUUUUUUCUUUUUUUUUUUGAGACGGAGUCUCGCUCUGUCGCCCAGGCUGGAGUGCAGUGGCAUGAUCUCGGGUCACUGCAACCUCUGCCUCCCUGGUUCAAGCGAUUCUCCUGCCUCAGCCUCCUGAGUAGCUGGGACUACAGGCAAAUGCCGCCACACCCAGCUAAUUUUUGUAUUUUUUGUAGAGACGGGGUUUUGCCAUGUUGGCCAGGCUGGUCUCGAACUUCUGAGCUCAGGUGAUCUGCCCGCCUCAGCCUCCCAAAGUGCUGGGAUUACAGGCCUGAGGCACUGCGCCCAGCCUUAUUUUCUUGUAUUAUUGUAUCACAGAAAUAUACACACCAGCCAGGUGCUGUGGCUCAUGCCUGUAAUCCCACCACUUUGGAAGGCCAAGGUGGGCAGAUCAUUUGAGGUAAGGAGUUGGAGACCAGCCUGGUCAACAUGAUGAGACCCUGUCUCUACUAAAAAUACAAAAAUUAGCCAGGCAUGGCGACACGCGCCUGUAAUCCCACCUACUCAGGAGGCUGAGGCAGGAAAAUUGCUUAAACCCGGGAGGCAGAGAUUGCAGUGAGCCAAAAUCAUGCCACUGCACUCCAGCAUGGGUGACUAAGCAAGUCUCCAUCUCAAAAAAAAAAAAGAAAGAAAGAAAGAAAUAUACACACCAUCUCUCAUCUUGCCUUUCACUGACUAUAAUCUUGGACCCCUUUCCACGUGCUAUCUGUAGAACUGCCAUUCUAAAGUAUUAUUUAGGCUGGGCGCGGUGGCUCACGCCUGUAAUCCCAACACUGGGAGGCUGAGGCAGGCGGAUCACCUGAGGUCAAGAGUUGGAGACCAGCCUGGCCAACAUGGUGAAACCCCGUCUCUACUAAAAAUACCAAAAAUUUGUUGGGCGUGGCGGCAUGUGCCUGUAAUCCCAGCUACUCGGGAGGUUAAGACAGGAGAAUCGCUGGAACCCGGGAGUCAGAGGUUGCAGUGAUCCGAGAUCGCACCAUUGCACCCCAGGGGCCUAGACAACAAGAGCGAAACUUCGUCUCAAAAAAAAAAAAAAAGAAAAGAAAAAGAAAAAAAGUAUUAUUUAAGUGUUACAUAAAUCUGAGUGUUGUGAUAGAAAAUUCGAUUGGUUUUAAAAAGUCACAGAGUAAAGUGUAUAUUAUGACCCAUUUAUGUCAAAACAAGCUAUUUAUAGUAAUAUUUGUAUAUAUAUAUGUGUGCCCCCCCACCAAAAAAAAAAAAAGAUAAGAAAGGCUUGGAGACUGGGCACGGUGGCUCACUCCUGUAAUCCUAGCACUUUGGGAGGCUGAGGCAGAUGGAUCACCUGAGGUCAGGAGUUCGAGACCAGUCUGGCCAACAUGGCGAAACCCUGUCUCUACUAAAGAUACAAAAAUUAGCUGGGCGUGGUGGCGCUCGCCUGUAAUCCCAGCUACUUGAGAGGCUGAGGAAGGAGAAUCGCUUGAACCUGGGAGGUAGAAGUUGCAAUGAGCCGAGAUCAUGCCACUGCACUUCAGCCUGCCCAACGGGAGCAAGACUCCAUCUCAAAAAAAAAAAAAAGAAAGGCUUGGAAUUGCGCGGCAAACCACUACCUUUGAUUCCCUCACAGGAGGGGAGAAAAUUUUAACGGGGUUAUAUUUAUAUAUUAUUUGCGUCUUUAACAACAAUUUUGACCUUUUACAUUUGUCAAAUAUUUCAAACAUAAUGAAAGUUAUAAAAUAAAUAAAGAGGGCCUAGUGCAGUGGCUCACGCGUAUAAUCCUAACAUUUUGGGAGGCUCAGGCAGGCAGAUCACCUGAGGUCAGGGGUUCGAGACCAGCCUGGGCACCAUGGCAAAGCCCCGUCUCUACUAAAAAUACACAAAUUGGCCAGGUGUGGUUACAUCUGUAAUCUCAGCUACUCAGGAGGCUGAGGCAGGAGAAUCGCUUGACUCAGGAGGCAGAGGUUGCAGUGACCCGAGAUGGUGCCACUGCACUUCAGCCUGGGCAACAGAGUGAGACUCCCUCUCAAAAAAAAUUAAUAAAAUAAAUAAAGACUCGUGUAUCCAGCAUCCAGUGUUGGCAAAUGUUAGAGAUUUGCCAUAUUUGUAUGAGUUUUGCAAUUUAAAACAAAUAUUCUUUUUUUUUUUUUUUUUAUGACGGAGACUCACUGUCGCCCAGGUUGGACUACAGUGACAUGAUCCCGGCUCACUGCAACCUCCACCUCCCGGGUUCAAGCGAUUCUCUUGCCUCAGCCUCCUCCUGCCUCAGCCUCCGGAGUAGCUGGGAUUACAGGCGUGUGCCACCAUGCCCAGCUAAUUUUGUAUUUUUAGUAGAGACAGGGUUUCACCACAUUAGCCAGGCUGAUCUCGAACUCCUGACCUCAGGUAAUCCGCCUGCCUCUGUCUCCCAAAGUGCUGGGAUUACAGGCGUGAGCCAAUGCGCCAGGCUCCUGAAACAAAUAUUCUUACUUGGGAAAUAGUCUUAAUCUGGGAGGAUAACAGACCAUACUAUUUCUGUUAAAGUGAUUGGGGUCUCCAGGCCGGGCGCGGUGGCUCACGCCUAUAAUCCUAGCACUUUGGGAGGCCGAGGCGGGUGGAUCACCUGAGGUCAGGAGUUCAAGACCAGCCUGGCCAACAUGGUGAAACCCUGUCUCUACUAAAAAAAAAAUACAAAAAAAUUAGCUCGGCAUGGUGGCGGGCACCUGUAAUCCCAGCUACUUCAGGAGGCUGAGACAGGAGAACCCCGUGAACCUGGGAGGCGGAGGUUGCAGUGAGCCGAGAUUCUACCACUGUACUCCAGCCUGGGCGACAAGAGUGAAAUUUUAUCUCAAAAAAAAAAAAAAAAAGAAAAAAAAAAAAAGAACGUGAUUGGGGUCUCCAAAGACCUUUUCUUUUUAUUCCUCAGUCUUUUGUAGAUUGAGUAAAAAGACUAAGGAAGACCAAAAUGCAUGCAUAUAGACUGUCAAGCCUUGGCCAUUUGGGGAAGACUUCAGUUUCUCUCUAGAAUUCUUCAUUUUAUUUAUUUAUUUAGAGACGGAGUCUUGCUCUGUCGCCCAGGCUGGAGUGCAAUGCCACGAUCUCGGCUCACUGCAACCUCCACCUGCCGGGUACAAGCUAUUCUCCUGUCUCAGCCUCCUGAGUAGCUGGGAUUACAGGUGCCCACCACCAUGCCUGGCUCAUUUUUGUGUUUUUAGUAGAGGCAGGGUUUCACCAUGUUGGCCAGGCUGCUCUCGAACUCCAGACCUCAGGUGGAUGCACCCGCCUCGGCCUCCCAAAGUGCUGGGACUACAGGCGUGUGCCACCGCGCCCAGCGAAUUCUUCAUUUUAUAAUCUGUCUCUUCCACUGUGAGGGUUGAAAGGAACACUGAAUAUAACAGGUGAGUUAAUUAAGGGGUUAAUGCCAGGAAGAGUCACGAAAGUUCAAAGAUUCUUUAAAAAACUUGUCUUUUUAGGGCGGGCGCGGUGGCUCACGCCUGUAAUCCCAUCACUUUGGGAGGCCGAGGCGUGUGGAUCACCUGAGGUCAGAAGUUUGAGACCAGCCUGGCCAACAUGGUGAAACCCCCCCUCUACUAAAAAUACAAAAAUUAACCGGGCGUGGUGGCGCGUGCCUGUAAUCACAGCUACUAGCGGGGCUGAGGCAGGAAGAUCGCUUGUACCCGAGAGGCGGAGGUUGUGGUGAGCCGAGAUCGCGCCACUGCACUCCAGCCUGGGCAACAGAGCGAGACUCUGUCUCAAAAAAACAAAAAAGAAAAAAAAGAAAAAAAAAAAAAAAAAUUGCCUCUUUGGAUUGAUGGACAAGUACUUUAACCAAUGGAAAUAAAAAUCUAAGCAUUACUUCAUCAUACUCAAUUGUGAUUGGUUGACGAUCCCCGAGGGAGGGCUCAGAGGGCUGGCAAUUAACCCUUUCAGGGAAAAUCAGGCCUUUUGCAUUUAUUUUAUUUUAAAGUUGAAGUAGUAACAGAUGAAAAGCCUACAAAAGUCCCCGGACUUUCAAAUACCACAUUUCAGUCUUAGCCCAGAAAGCAGGAUUUCGCCCCACAAAGGAAUAGUCAAGGACAAAUUUCCUGGAGAAAAGUUUUGAACUUUUAGAACGGGGAAUCCGCUGACCUCGCUGAGUAAGUGAGAAGGUUGAUUCACUUUUUGUGCUGUUGGAACAGGGACCAGUGUUGGAGAUGAUUCCAUUAAUCUUGCGAAGUGAUCAGUCACUGGGAGGAUUGAAUUGCAUUUCCUGCCUAAAGAUAGAGACAGAUGACCUUUGCUGCAGCCCUCAGACCCCCAGUUCACAGCUGGGGAGAGGAUGUGUCAGCGUUUACUUUCAGGUCUCACCCUGCCCUUUGUUCAAAAUUCAGACUCUUUUGUGUUUAGGCUGCUGCUGGGGUUUUUGUAGUUGUUGAUGCUGCUUUUUUUUUUUUUUUUUUUUUUUUUUUUAUAUAACCGCCCACAUCCUGCAACUUCUGAGAAACAAACUCUCUAUUUGGUAGAAGAUAAAAUCUGGAGGUGCCUCGGAGAGGGAACCAGAAUAGACAGGGAAUUCCGACAGGCCAUUGGGCCUUUAGGCUUUAAUUACUGCCCUCACCCCUUCCUGGACUCCCUAAAUGCUGCAGGCUGAACUGGAUGGAGCCAAAAGUCCAGCAAAAUGAAUAACAAUGCUUCGUGUUUAUAUGGCUCUACUACAAGAAAGCUUUUACACACAUUACCUCAUGGAAGAGGCACUGCUAAAGCAGAAGUAUUUACAUAAAUGAACAUUCGCAGUUCCUAAAUGUAGUCAGCUGCAUGACCUAGGACAAAGUGUCCAAACUUAAGUCUCAGUUUUCUCAUCUGUAAAAUGGGGUCACAUGAAAGUUACCAGAGGAGGCCGGGCGCAGUGGCUCACGCCUGUAAUCCCAGCACUUUGGGAGGCUGAGGUGGGCGGAUCACAAGGUCAGGAGAUGGAGACCAUCCUGGCGAACACGGUGAAACCCCAUCUCUACAAAAAAUUAGCAGGGCGUGGUGGCUGGCACCUGUAGUCCCAGCUACUCAGGAGGCUGAGGCAGGAGAAUGGCGUGAACCCAGGAGGCGGAGCUUGCAGUGAGCCGAGAUCUCGCCACUGCACUCCAGCCUGGGUGACAGAGCGAGACUCCAUCUCAAAAAAAAAAAAGUUACCAGAGGGUCAAGGCGCGAUGGCUCACACCUGUAAUCCCAGCACUUUGGGAGGCCGAGGCAGGCAGAUCCCCUGAAGUCAGGAGUUUGAGACCAACUUGGCCAACAUGGGGAAGCCCCAUCUCUACUAAAAACAUAAAACUUAGCUGGGCAUGGUGGCUCAUGCCUGCAAUCUCAGCUACUUGGGAGGCUGAGGCAAGAGAAAUGCUUGAACCUGGGAGGCGGAGGUUGCAGAGCCUAGAUCGUGCUACUGCACUCCAGCCUGGGUGACAGCAAGACUACGUCUCAAAAAAAGAAAGAAAGAAAGAAAGAAAGAAAAAGAAAAAUAGGCCGGGCGAGGUGUCUCAUGUCUGUAAUUCCAGCACUUUGGGAGGCCAAGGCAGGCAGAUCACCUGAGGUCGGGAGUUCGAGACAAGCCUGACUAACAUGGAGAAACCCCGUCUCUACUGAAAAUACAAAAUUAGCCAGGCAUGGUGGCGCAUGCCUGCAAUCCCAGCUACUUGGGAGGCUGAGGCAGGAGAAUCGCUUGAACCCGAGAGGUGAAGGUUGCGGUGAGCCAAAAUCACACCAUUACACUCCAGCCUGAGCAACAAGAGCAAAACUCCAUCUCAAAAAAUAAUAAUAAUAAAAUAGUUACCCGACAAUUGAAUGAGCCAAUGUUCUAUAACAGGACUCAAUAAAUGGUGUGUCUUAAUUAAAAUGAGGUUGACCUCCUGGGCUCCAGAACGAUGACAGCUAGCUGUGGAUUGGGCAAAUUUAGCUUUUCCCCAAGGGGAACGCCUUGGGGAAGCCUGCCUGGAAUGUAUGGAUUGAGUCCCCUUGCUUGUACAUCCUGUCCCUCACCAGACUCCAAAGUCUGACCGUGCUGAACUAUUUUGAGUUCUUUGACUAAACCUGCUCUUUCCUCCUCUAGACCUUUGCAUAUGCCAGUCUAUUCCCGCAGCCCUUCUUCCCUCCUGUUUCUCCUGGAAUCUGCUUUGCUCUCUCUCUUUCCUGCCCCCUCCCAGUAAUUACCACAUCAUCUUACUGUUGCCUGUGCCUUCACCAGACUGUAAGCCCUGGAGGGCAGUACCUGGUCUGUCUCAUUCAUGGAUAUAGCUCUAGCAAAGUGCCUGCAUGUUCUCUAAAAAUACUUGUGGUUUUUUUUUUAUUAUUUUAUUUUUUUGAGACGGAGUCUCACUCUGUCG
rnacentral:lncRNA from 1 species